rnacentral:rRNA from 1 species
UAACGAAUCUUCGUCAAUGCACGAAAGUGUGAACGAGCGACGCCGCGUGGAGGAUGAAGUUCUUCGGAAUGUAAACUCCUGUCAGGGGAAAGAAAGUUCUGAUCUACCCCAGAGGAAGGGACGGCUAACUCUGUGCCAGCAGCCGCGGUAAGACAGAGGUCCCAAGCGUUAGGCGGAAUCACUGGGCUUAAAGCGUGUGUAGGCGGAUUAGCAAGUACCUUGUGAAAUCCCACGGCUUAACCGUGGAACUGCUUGGUAUACUGCUAGUCUUGAGGCAUCUAGAGGCAACUGGAACAAACGGUGGAGCGGUGAAAUGCGUAGAUAUCGUUUGGAACGCCCAAGGUGAAAACAGGUUGCUGGGGAUGUACUGACGCUGAGACACGAAAGCCAGGGGAGCAAACGGG